GAUGAAGAACGUAGCGAAAUGCGAAAAGUAAUGUGAAUUGCAGAAUUCAGUGAACCAUCGAAUCUUUGAACGCACAUUGCGCCCGCUGGAACUCCGGCGGGCACGCCUGUCCGGGCGUCAUUUCAACCCUCAGGCCCCCCUUCGCGGGCGGGCCUGGUGUUGGGGCCCGGCCGCUACCCUGCGGCCGUCCCCUAAAUCCAGUGGCGGCCUCGCCGUGAUCCCUUGCGUAGUAAUGCACCUCGCACCGCAGAGCGCCGUGGCCACGCCGUAAAACCCCCAAUUUUCAAUGGUUGACCUCGGAUCAGGUGGGAAUACCCGCUGAACUUAAGCAUAUCAAUAAGCGGAGGA
rnacentral:misc_RNA from 1 species